GACGAACUGUCCAAACGUUGUUCGGAAUCACUGGGCUUAAAGAGCGCGCAGGCGGUCGUUCAAGUCGCGUGUGAAAGCCCCCGGCUCAACUGGGGAGGGUCACGCGAUACUGAUCGACUCGAAGGCAGGAGAGGGUAGUGGAAUUCCCGGUGUAGUGGUGAAAUGCGUAGAUAUCGGGAGGAACACCAGUGGCGAAGGCGACUACCUGGCCUGUUCUUGACGCUGAGGCGCGAAAGCUAGGGGAGCAAACGGG
rnacentral:rRNA from 1 species